rnacentral:lncRNA from 1 species
UUGGGUUUUAACUUAAAAAGAACCGUUCAAUUCGAUUGAUUUCAGUUCGAUUUGUGAGUUUUGUUCAGCCCUAUCGAAAACUGGAUCUAUCGAAAACUGGAUCCAAUUGAUAAUUUAGAUUUUAUGGUUGUUCAUUGUCUUUUUAAACUGAUAGCGUAUGGAAUGGCAUCGUCACCGUCAAAUUCUCUCAUGUCCCGGCCUCUUUGGGUAAAGAGUAAAUCUGGCACGGUGUAAUUCUUGUUAGAAAUUGCAAAUUUUGAUUACCAGAUACUAGAUCCACAGGUUACUGUUUCGCCUCAUGUUCUCACCCGUAACAUAAUAUAGAGCAAUAAUAGCUGAGUUUUAUUUUGAAACAGUUGCAUCUUUAUCAUUAGUCCUUUAAAAUGUUUCUUAAUUGUCUUUAUAUUUGUAUAUAGACCUUCUUGUUCUACAUUCCUGCACGUUUGCAAGAUGCUAUUUUGACUUUGAGUUCUUUUUGUCAGAGUUUCACAGAAUGGGAGUAUCUGUUUCUGGGACUUGUUUUGGCACUCCC